rnacentral:rRNA from 1 species
UACAGAGGGGGCGAGCGUUGUUCGGAAUUACUGGGCGUAAAGGGCGCGUAGGCGGACUCGCUAGUCUGUGGUGAAAGCCCCCGGCUCAACCGGGGAAGUGCCGUGGAUACUGCGAGUCUGGAGGAGGGUAGGGGCAUCUGGAACGCUGGGUGGAGCGGUGAAAUGCGUUGAUAUCCAGCGGAACUCCGGUGGCGAAGGCGAGGUGCUGGACCCUUUCUGACGCUGAUGCGCGAAAGCCAGGGGAGCAAACGGG